GAUGAACGCUGGCGGCGUGCCUAAUACAUGCAAGUCGAGCGGACGGACGAGAAGCUUGCUUUUCUGAUGUUAGCGGCGGACGUGUGAGUAACACGUGGGUGACAUACCUAUAAGACUUGGAUAACUUCGGGGGACCGGAGCUAAAAACGGCUGAUAUGAUGAACCGCAUGGUUCAAAAGUGAAAGACGGUCUUGCUGUCGAUUAUACAUGGAUCCGCUCCGCAUUAGCUAGUUGGUAAGGUAACGGCGUACCAAGACAACGAUGCGUAGCCGCCCUAAGAGGGUGAGCGGCCACACUGGAACUGAGACACGGUCCAGACCCCUACGGGAGGCAGCCGGAGGGAACCCUUAGGGAUGGGCGAAAGCGUGACGGAGCAACGCCGCGGGAGUGAUGAAGGUCUUGGGAUCGUAAAACUCUGGUAGUAGGGAAGAACAUAUGUGUAAGUAACUGGGCAAAUCGUGGCGGUACCUAAACAGAGAGGCACGGCUAAAUUAGGG
rnacentral:rRNA from 1 species